AUCCUGCAGUUGGACUUGAUCGUUAUGCUGGAAUCAUCAUUGGUGUAGUUGUAAUUUUGGUUGUGUUGGUCAUCAUUCGCCUCAUUGUUGCAGGUCCUAAGACAGUAUUGGCUGAAUGCGUCGAGUGCUGCAUCGAAGGCUCCAGUUUCAUCUGUGAAAAUGUCAUUGAUUCUUAGAUGGAAUGAUUGUGAACGUGUUGUCAGAAAAAAAAUGCUGUAAAUAGAUCAUAUUCAGCACCAACCACCAACCAAUUAUCUUUGCACUCGUCGAUAAGACUGCAUUGCAAUGCUAAAUGUCUGCAACAAUGUAUUUUGAUGCAUUUUGUGCAAUGAGACAUUAAUUAAUAAAGGUUAUUCAGUA